rnacentral:rRNA from 1 species
UAUAGCUAAUCUGCCCUACACUAGAGGACAACAGUUGGAAACGACUGCUAAUACUCUAUACUCCUCUUUAACAUAAGUUAGAUAGGGAAAGUUUUUCGGUGUAGGAUGAGGCUAUAUUGUAUCAGCUAGUUGGUGAGGUAAUGGCUCACCAAGGCUAUGACGCAUAACUGGUCUGAGAGGAUGAUCAGUCACACUGGAACUGAGACACGGUCCAG